GGGCCCUCGCCAAGUCUCCGCCUUCCUACCCUCCCCCUGUCAAUGCCGGAUGUCCAGAGCUCACAGCCUCAGGAACGCCACUACACCCUAGGGGCCUCCUUCUCCUGGGACCCCCUGGGCCCCACCCCCAGUACCUCCCACCUCUGCAUGCCCUGAGUUUGCUUUUCCCAAUUCACUGGGCAGUUCGUCUCCACGCCCACCUGACUGGACCCGGAAACCCGAAGAAGUUAAGUGGGGGUUCAGCAAUACGAACAGAGUAUUGUAGGUGCUCGGAGGUCGUGAAUAGGAUAUGCGGGAGAACUGGCUAGAGAUUUCUCAGAGGAGCAGUCAUGGAGCAAGACCAGGAUGAAGUCUUGGGGAGAACCUCAGCAGGAGGAGCAGAAUUUGAAACAGCAGCAUCCCGGUCCUGCGCCUGGUGAAGGAUGACUCGCCAGAAAGCAAAGGCGCAGCCCUACCUCCGCGAGCUUGGCGUGUGGCCCAGGAGGCUCCGCGAGCCCUUGUACGUAAGGAUCGCGGCGCCCACGCUUGAGAGCAGAGCUCAGUGCAAACUUCCAACAGUUCUUCCAGUUUCCAGGGAAACGAGAUUUGGAGCUGCUGCGCCUUGCAGAGCUGCUUCUCUGCUCCCCACAUGGGACCUUUGUGGCUGGCUAGUCUUGGGGAGGAAGGAAUUGAAGCCAUCUCAUCCAUGAAGGAUGAGGUCCGAUCUUAAGACUGAAGAAUUGAGCAGGGCUCUGGGGAUAUCUUCUACCCUCAGAGCACUCUAGAAGUGCUGUUCUGGGUUGCUUCUCUAGAAGGGCACUGCCAACCUCUAACAAUCUUUCCAUUUCUAUACUCACCACAGGGCGCACGAACAUGACGUUUCCCCUUUUAGAGUAUAUUUGCACUCCAUAAUGAUCCUCACCUGGCAUUGCCUCCUCGUUUCUCAAAUUUUGUCAUAUUUCUUCAUUGCCUCAGUUUUGUUUGAAGCUUGUCUGAUCCGAUGCUCUCAGUAACUGAAAGCUUUCAGGAACAUUCUUUUACUCACUUCUCAGGACAACCAGUGAGGCAGGAACACAGAGAUUUCAGGAGAGCAUCCUGGUGUGUAAUGAGAAGGGGCUCAGCUGCUUGGAAUCUAGGGGAGCUGGAGCUCCCUCCCUACUUGCAGUGUAAAAUCACAGGAUCCUGUCACCAAGGAAGGGCUCCCCAUGUUCUGUUGUGAGCCUUCCUCAACAUCCACUUGCAGAGCCAAGGAGGGGACCAAGGGUAGCUGCGGUCUGGUCAGGUGACCUGGAGGGGUCAGAGGCAGGAAGGAGAGCAACUCCAGAAAGAACCACACCAGCAAGGAAUAACUUUGCUACUUCUCCAGGAAAAUCACAUCAUCAGCUACUGACCAAGUUCCUACAGAGCCUGGGCAGGUCUGGCAGUCUUCUGGGGUAGGAAUCAGUCUUCACACUGAAAACAAGGAAGAGGCUGUAAACCCAGAAAAGACACGUGGGAAUGCAACAGCAGUUAUGGAUUGGGAAAUAUUCUCACUUUCAAGUCUUAUUUUAAUAUUUACAUUCAAAACUGCAUCGCCUAGAAUAGUGAUUCAAUCAACUGAGCUUUUAAUUUUUUUCUACUCCACACAUUUUAAAGUAUUUUUGUUUUUUAUUUUAUAACGUAUGUCUUAGUCUACCUUCUUUUACUAUAACCAUAACAUUUACAAAGAACAAUGGUUUAUUUAGCUCACAGUUCAGAAGUUCUUGCCACUGUGAAGUCCUUGUGCUGUGUACGGUAUGGUGUAGGGUAUCACCUGGCAAGACAGAGCAAGCAAAGAGCUCCUUCCAUGACACAACUACUCAAAUAAUUAUAUCCUAAGGUCCCACCAAACACCAUAAGCAUAUGACUUUGGGGAUAACAUUUCUAGCCCAUGAAUUCUGGGGACCAGCACUCACACAUUAUAACUGGCCAAAUAGUUAAAAUUUUCAUUGUUAAUCCUCACCCCCGUUUUUCCAGGAAUAGCCAUGUUAAUCUGUCGCUUCACACAGGCAGUGCAGGCAUCUCUGUGCAAACACCCAACUGUGAGUCUUUCAAAGGAUUCAUGAAACCAUGGCUAUGAGUUCUCGGAGACACAACAGGGUUUCUUAUUGUGUUAAAAGCUUUCGCCUUAUAGAAUGUAAUCACAGAAAAUAUUAAAUAUAGGUGUGAUAUCUUCAUGAUAUAGAAAUAAGCAUUUAUCUAUCAUAGUCAUGGAAGACAGAAGUGCCUGAGGAUGCAGCUCAGAACCUGUCAGCUCACCAGAGCUGUCUUCCUACACUUGCUUAGAUAUUUGUUAGAAGGAAUCCAUUCCUAGCUGUUUUGGUUGGCUUAGUCUGUUUUGUUUGUUCAUUUUUUAAAAAAAUUUUUUUGCAGAGAAUCAGAGAGCAUGAUUCUCCAUACCUGGCUUCUUUUGUUCCAUAUGUUUGUGAAGUGUGUCCACUCAUUGCUGGUAAUGAAGCCCUGCAGCUUACCCAUUUCACUGCAAUAAACAACUUAUUGCUUCUUGUUUGGGAAUAGUAUGUCCUGAAUCAUGGAGACACACAGUUGAGUAACCUGGGGAUGAAAUUGCCCUGUCUGAUUAACACUAUCUUUAUUUUAUUUUAUUUUUUGCCCUUUUCGCAUUGAGGUGCAAUUUAUGUACUAUAAGAUCCAUUGAUUGUAACUGUACAGUUCUGUAAGUUUGGACAGUUGCAUACAUUUAUACAAGUGACCACCUCAUGACUCUGCUGUUCCAGCUUCUGCGAAUGCUAAGCUCAGGUUUCCCCCACACCAGGUCUGUGUGCUAUAGUUUUUAUCACAAUAUUUCCUAUGCAUGGAUGGUCUCUUCUUCCUGGUUUCAGUGCCUUUCAGAUUUGUCCAAACUCUUCCAUGGAUCAAUUGAUUGUACUUAUUGAUGAAUAGAAUUCUAGUAAAAAGUGUUUUCCAUUCAUGA